ensembl:misc_RNA
CCCUCAUGAGGACUGUGCCUGUCAGCUGCAUGGAGUUCCAUUCAAGGACUCUCUGAGCCUGACGGAUCUGCAAUGGUAUUCGGCUGCCUGGGGAA